rnacentral:lncRNA from 1 species
GGAGUGGGAAUGAGGAAAGCUCGUUUCGUUUCCGUUGCGCUCCUUUUUCUAAUCUUUUGUGCUGGAGCCACGGCUGUGGUAAUCAGUCAUCAGGCUUGCAAUGGUAUUAUGGGAAGGUGCCACGGAGUGGAGGAGGAGUGGGCUAUGAAUUCCGAGAUUGCGAGGAGGCUUCUCCAGACCACCACCUCCGGCCCCGUGAGUUGUGAAGCAUUGAGAAAGAACAGACAGGUGUUUAAAACCAAUGAGCCUGGAAGACCCUACACUCGCGGAUGCGAAACAGACUACUACUGCAGGAACAUGCACCAUUGAUGGAAGCCUGGGAGCCUUCUUUGUGUGUUUAGUACCAACGGGUUCCUCUGCUUUCUUCUUCUUUCUCUGCUUUUAUAUCGAGUAGUAAUUGAGAUUGAAAUAUCUCUCCCCCCCUUUUGUAGAUGAAUGUUUAGUUAAGCGGUCAAAUUGCUUUUUCUUUCCAUUUGCAGCAACAUUACUAUAGAAUUAUAUGGAUGAGUGAUGUAACCUUGCAAUCAUCUCAAUUAGAAAAAUUUGCUUUAGACGAGAACAAAUUAAUAUUCAGACCAUGCAGGCAAUGU